rnacentral:lncRNA from 1 species
GGCCUUGGACCAACGGGAGCAGGGUGCAAACCACCCAACAAUCACAACCCACCAAAGAGGCGUAAGGCCAUGAUAUGCAAAUUAGGGGGCAUGACCCCUGGUGCUGAGACACGCUCAUUGGGACCAAGAAGUGCAACCCGAGAGAUGCAACCGGAGAAAGGGUGUGACCUACCCACCAAAGAGGCGUAAGGCCAUGAUAUGCAAAUUAGGGGGCAUGACCCAUGGUGCAUAGACACGCUCAUUGGGACCAAGAAGUGCAACCCGAGAGAUGCAACCGUUGGAGAAAUGAUGCAUCCCUUGAAGUCAAACAACGUCAAAUCUAGAGCAAUAUCAAAUGGGGACAGUCAACCAUUUGGAUUAAUUGUGUCCAUUAAGAACGAGUGUUAGAUACAAUAUAAAUAUAUCCAAACUGGAUUAGGAAA